rnacentral:misc_RNA from 1 species
GGCAUUUUCGUACAUUUUCGUAAGAAGUGAAGUGCUGGUCAGAAAGUGCGUGCCCCAUCGAUGCAAAUAAAUAGUAAUUGGACGGAGCCAAGUCUGGUGAGUAAGCCGCGUGCGAAAUUAUUUCCCAACUGAACGCUUCGAUCGUUUCCUUGACCAGUUUUGCUGUAUGUGAUGGUGCAUUAUCAUGAAGCAAAAUUACUUUGUGUUGCCUUUUUUGAUAUUCUGGUCGUUUUUCACGCAAAGCUCGAUUCAAAUCGAUCAUUUGUUUUCGGUAGCGCUCAGUAUUAACGGUUUCGCCAGGUUUUAACAGCUCAUAAUAGAUCACACCCUUCUGAUCCACGUUCUUCGUUCCUCAUCUCAAAAUUGCCACUUCUGAAUUUUUUAAACCACUCAAAGCACUGUGAUUUACCAAGAGCAUGCUCACCGUAAGCUUCGA